rnacentral:lncRNA from 1 species
AAAAAAAAAGAAAGAGAGAGAGAGCUUUAAAACUCUCUCAGAGCUCUGGCCAGUGGCCGUCUUGGCUCGUCCCGGAGCAGCAUCGCCUUCGGCCAAAUGCGCUUCACGCGCCACCAUCUAAGCCACCGUGCUCGGCGGUUAGAGUUUUUACUGCUAAGGUAAUUUCUUUACCAUCUUUAUAAUGUAUUUUCACUAUAUGCUGUAUCAAAAAAUAUAUAAUGAAAAGAAGAUAAGAGUAUCACCUCUGUUCUUCCGUUAACUCUUUGAUUUCCCCUUUUAUAUAUUUUGUAUCUACAAAAAAACCGCCCUUUUACAUUGUUCUGAUUCAGGUUUUUAUAGCCACUGUUUACAACAUAGAUCUUUGGUAUGUUCCUAUUUGCUCGAUUUCUUGCCAUAUGCUGUUGGUACUGCCCCUUUUUGUUUCCUUUUGUAGGUGAGUGAAGAAAUCCCGAUAGAAGAUGCGCCGAUGAUGGCGCGAUGUGGAGCUGAAGUUACGGCGCUGAUGGAGGGCCACUUGGAACGUCAUGAGUUGAAGGGUCACAUCGCUUGGAAUGCUUGCGGCGCAAACCCUAACUAGGGUUCCCUGAAGCUGAAGACAGAUUGGGCCAAUUGGGCCGAUUAAAUCUUGGGUUUAGAGUAUCAGGGGUAGGGUGUAAAUGGGUCUGCUGGGUAGUUCUAAUUUUGGGCCUACAGGCUAUUGUAAAUGGACUAUAAAUGGACUGUUUAAUUUUAUUUUUUAAUUAAUUUAAUUCUUGCAAGCCCGAGUAAAUUUGGGCUAUUACAGUACUAUUACCAAUAGAGGGCAUAGAACUAUGUUUAAUUGAUUUUGCUCAACACAACGAAAAUUGAAGAAUGUGAUAUACAUCGAAAUCUUCUCCUUGGAAUACAUAUAUUAACUUUAAUUUAGCGUAUUUGAAUACAUCAAACUCUAAUCUUAGUUCAAUUUUCACAUUUCAUUAAGCUUGUUAUUUA